CCUACGGGUGGCAGCAGUGAGGAAUAUUUGUCAAUGGGCGAGAGCCUGAACCAGCCAAGUCGCGUGAGGGAGUACUGCCCUAUGGGUUGUAAACCUCUUUUGUCGGGGAGCAAAAGCCGGACGUGUCCGGCUGUGAGAGUACCCGAAGAAAAAGCAUCGGCUAACUCCGUGCCAGCAGCCGCGGUAAUACGGAGGAUGCGAGCGUUAUCCGGAUUUAUUGGGUUUAAUGGGUGCGUAGGCUGUGAGGUAAGUCAGCGGUGAAAUGCCCCCGCUCAACGGGGUGAAGUGCCAUUGAUACUGCCUUGCUGGAAUGCGGAUGCCGUGGGAGGAAUGUGUGGUGUAGCGGUGAAAUGCUUAGAUAUCACGAAGAACACCGAUUGCGAAGGCAGGCUGCUGGACUGUAACUGACGCUGAUGCUCGAAAGUGUGGGUAUCAAACAGGAUUAGAUACCCUGGUAGUC
rnacentral:rRNA from 1 species